UACGUAGGCAGCGAGCGUUGUUCGGAGUUACUGGGCGUAAAGGGUGUGUAGGCGGUUUUCUAAGUUUGGUGUGAAAUCUCCCGGCUCAACCGGGAGGGUGCGCCGAAAACUGGGAGACUAGAGUGCGGGAUGGGAGAGUAGAAUUCCUGGUGUAGCGGUGAAAUGCGUAGAGAUCGGGAGGAACACCAGAGGCGAAGGCGGCGACCUGGACAAGCACUGACACUCAACUACGAAAGCGUGGGGAGCAAACAGG
rnacentral:rRNA from 1 species